GGGUUGCGCUGGGGUGGGUGUCCAGCGCUGUAGGAGGAACGCAGUGGGAGGAAGGCUUGCGGGCGUGCGGACUCGGCUUCGGGCCGAGCGCUUUGAAGAAUUUUGCAGAACCCUGCUACCUACGGACUCUGCCAUGGACGUCAUGUAAAGAAACCCCGGAUGUAGUAACGGACAAAACAUGAGUCAGUUUGUGUUGUGGCAUUCAGAUCCGAACACACUGGGAGAGAACUGAUUCUGAAUGGAGAAGACGUAGGACCGGUCAGUGUAGGAUGCACUGUGCUUGGAAGACAGGCACCUGGAGCUCUCAGUUUGGACUAGGCUGGCUGGCAGUAAGCCCCCAGGAUCCUCCUGUUCUCACACUAGAGGCAUCAAACACCAAGAUUGUGAAGACCAUGGCCCAUCCUUAUGCAUUCAAGAGUUGAGUGUGGAUGACUUGGAGCUGAAAAACCCCUUCAGAAGCUUCAUGUGUCACGUGCAUUGAAGCUCUGCAUUAAACCCACUCGCACAAGUAAAUGCUCAAAGGGACUGAAGGCCAUUAGUACAGUUUUUAUGUCUCUUUCUUUUACUUCAGUUUCUUUAGCCAUCAGGGUCCUUAAUGUUUCUUAUCUUUACUAUAGUAAAGACUCAGAGAAAGGCUACUUUCCAUGAAGUAGUAUGUACUUUCCAUGAAGUAGUAUGUACUUUGCAUGAAGUAGUAUGUUCUGUGACCACACGCCUUUAUUAGUGGAGAUGGGCAUUUUCACUUGAGUGUUUUGUUACAGCCUAUUAAAAAUUUGAUUCAGUAAUGUGAAAGUGAGGAUUAAAUAUCAAAAAAUUACAAUAUUAGAGAAGUAUGUGCUUAACAUGUGUAAAGCCCCAGGUCCAGUCUGCUGCAUUGUGUGGGGUGGUUAGGGGCUGUGUGGAUGUGCAAAGCCCCGGGUCCAGUCUGCUGCAUUGUGUGGGGUGGUUAGGGUGUGUGUGAUGUGGUAGAAGUGACUUAAGCUGAGACCUUGGGUAAGGAGCCCUUAGAGUUAAUGGCUCUCAGCCCACCACUGCCUCUUACAGCUAUGUGACUGGGAAAGGUCUUCUCUCUGUGUCUUCAUUGGGCUGACCAGCAGCUGUUUAAAUGAAAGAAUUUAGGGGUAUUCACAGUGUGUCUGCAUAGUAAGAGUAACAUUGUUUCCAUUUUUAUAUGUAACAAUGUGUGCAGUUGGUAAUUAAGUCAAAGUUUUCUUUUUCUUGUGUGUUGCUGUCACAAUUUUCAAAGUAUAAUUUUAGCUCUAGUGCCUUUCUACACAUUUUAAUCCUUGGAGAUUCAUUUCAUUCCUUUCAUACCUGUGAGGAAGGAAUUAGUACUAAUAUCAGUGACAUCUGGUUUAAUUGAAAUAUUUUGUGUUUCAUAAAAUAUAGAAAGCCAGGUAGCCUGUGCUACUGUCUAUCCUGAUACUUAGAACACUUAAGAAUUGUUCAACUUCAACUUUUUAGGAAAAUUAUGCUAAGUGUUUUACUUUAGGUAUUUUGUUUAUUUUAUUUUGAUGUGUGUGGUGUGUGUGUGUGUAUGAAUGUAUGUAUAAGAGAGGGUGUGUGUGAGUGAGCCUGUGUGUGAGUGAGCAUGCUUGAGUAUGUGUUGUGUGUGUGUGUUAUCACUCCUCAUGUGCCAUCUGUCUUUUUUGUUUGUUUGACAUAGAGUCUCUCAUUGGUCUGGAACUGGCCAGUGGCCAAGUAGACCAGGCUGGCUGGCCAGUGAGCCUCAGGGAUCUGCCUGGUUCUACCUCCCCAGCUCUGAGAUUAUAAACCCACACCAGGAUGUCAGAUCCUCAUUCUUGCAGAAUACUUUACUGACUAAGCUAACUUCUGAGCUCCCUGUGUGGUUUUGUUUUUGUUUUUGUUUUUGUUUUGUUUUGUCUUUUGAGACUUAGGAGCUUGGUGUUCUCUAAAGGAGAAAAUGCCAGUUUCCCCCUUCUCUUAGUAACUGAGUUUAGGUUAAUGAUUUAAGAUGCAUGUCACUGUAAUUAGCUUGUUUCUUUGAAGACAUCAUUGGUUACCAGUAAGUAGGUGACUGCUAUAGUACUCCUGGACAGUAGGGAGUGCUUUCUUCCAGAGGGUAUACAUUCUGAUUCAUGGUGAGGAAAUGUUUAUUUAUCUUAGUGUGUAUACAUAUAUGUGUGUGUGUGUUAUAUGUGUGCUGGUGCACUUCUCUCUCUCUCUCUCUCUCUCUCUGUGUGUGUGUGUGUGUGUGUGUGUGUGUGUGUGUAUGUGUGUGAGUGUGAGAGAGACCCAGCUUUAUGUGGGUGUUGAGAAUCUGAACUCAGGUCUUUCUGCUUUUAUAGCAAUCAUUGUACUGAACCAUGUCUCCACCCUGUUUCUUUACUGCACUGAAAUACUUUACUUGGUGCCUUGGAAUUGUUUAAAUUUAACAGAAGGCUAUACAAAGUGUUGAUUUUUCUCCUUAUACAAAUUACAUAAAUGCAUAUAAUCCCAGUGAUGUAAAUAUUUGUCAAGAAAUGUAAAAUGUGGACAGGAGCUACAUGUUGCCUAGUCAUAACCAAGCUUCUUGCAUUGGUGGAGACAGAACGAAUUGCAUAGACUUUGAGAAUUGAGCCUGCCAGGAACAAGACAGUUGGCCUCUGAUGGAGAAGCUGGCCUCUGAUGGAGAAGCUUCUUACUGCCUGUGACUGACUUUCUUCUUCUUUGACCCCUCCCCUGAACCCGAAACUCCUCACAUUGAUCUUUAUGACCUUGCAUGUAGAAAUACUAGCAAAAAAGAAAAAAGCCCAAGAAACACUAAUUGGAUAUCUUAACUGUCCUUGGUCUGUAUGCCCUGCCCUUAUGAAUCUAGUAUCUGCCACUGGCCUUUCUUUUCUACCUUCUAAAUACCUUUAAACUCCCUCUUUCAGGUCUAGCCUGUACCUUACUCUGUUGUCAGAUUUCCUGAGCCUCUGUAAAAGCCCCUCGCUUGGUUCUCUAUAUUUACUCUCCUUCCCUUCUCUCAUCUCGCUGCAUUCAGAGGAAUCUUCUUUUUGAUCCUCUGCUUUAAGUCCUUGAUAUUUUAUUGCCUCAGGCCGCUAAGCAACAGCAGCAGUGUCCCCUAUCCCACGUUUCCCCCUUGUGUCUCUGACGGUUUCAAUGAGAAACGACCCUCAUUGAAACCGUUUAGGACGUGCAGUCCUGCUGGGGGAAGUUUGUCACUGGGGGAAGCAUAUGAGAGCUUAAGGCUCCGUCCUACUUCAAGUUUGCUCUCAGCUUGGACUAGUGGUUGAGAUCAGAUGCUAGCUUCUUUUUUCCUGCCUCUGCUGCCAUGCCCUUCCAUAAUGGAUCCUUAGCCCUUUGGAAAUGUAAGCCCAAAUGAACUCUUUCCUUUUU
rnacentral:lncRNA from 1 species